UACAGAGGUCUCAAGCGUUGUUCGGAUUCAUUGGGCGUAAAGGGUGCGUAGGCGGUGCUCUAAGUCGGAUGUGAAAACUCUGGGCUCAACCCAGAGCCUGCAUCCGAAACUGGAGUGCUAGAGUUCUGGAGGGGGUAGCGGAAUUCCUGGUGUAGCGGUGAAAUGCGUAGAUAUCAGGAGGAACACCGGUGGCGAAGGCGGCUACCUGGACAGAAACUGACGCUGGAGGCGCGAAAGCCUAGGGGAGCAAACAGG
rnacentral:rRNA from 1 species